AAUUUAAUUACAUAUAGUUUAUGAUUUUGCUAACACACACAAAAAUUUUCUGGUGCAAACUGGGACAGAAAAAUUUUGUUCGUGCUGUUUGUCUUUGAUGAUUUGCAGGACCUGCUUGAAGAAUGGAAAGCAAGUCAAUAUCUGCCUGAAAAAUGGGACACCUUUCAAUUUAAGGUUCAAGAGCCCGCCUGAAAAAUAGGGUGUAUUUUCAAGUUCAGUCAGAAGUAGCAGGAGCCCCGCCUGAAGAAUAGGUUACUUUCGAGAUCAGAAUGCUUAUCUCACCACUUGGGAAAGCGUGAAGAUUCAAGUCAAACUUCAAGAGAAGCCGCAUAGAUAGGAUCUCGUUACUUGUAUUUCCUUUUUAACUUUUGUUUUCAUUUUGAUGUAAUAACUGGAGCCGCGGACCGGAACCUCGACAGGACCUCAAUCGACUCUCCAACUCAGCAUAUUC